GGAUGUGAGGGCGAUCUGGCUGUGACAUCUGUCACCCCACUGCACCAGGGUUGAUCAGCUGAUCUGGCUGACCCGGCAGGUGUCCCUUUCCUUCCUCCUCACUGUUCCACACGCGCCCCUCCUGAAGCUGCACGCUAGGACCAUUCUUUGGGCGAGGGUAUAGGAGUAACUAUGCACCCCUAGAACCUCCAAACAGACUCUCAAAAAAGAAAUGAGAGCAAAUGCUCUGCGAGACGAAAUGAAGCUCUGCAAUACUGAGACCUGGCAAAGUAC
rnacentral:snRNA from 1 species